GGAAACAAAAAUUCAAAUAUGAACAUAGUUCAUCCCAAAUUCCUAUCAAGAUGAAGUUUACAUACCUAUUAAAAGUGAAUCAAAACUAAAUCCGAAACUGAAAAAUGGAGUUCAACAAUACUAAGCAGCAAGAAGAGUUCCUUUCAAUGCUUCCUCCAACCCAGAAUCAAUAGAACAAACCCAGAAGAUGCUUAAGGAAAUCGAAAAAAAACUAAGAAAAAGCUGAAGAAUUUUUUUUUAUUCUGAUUCUGCCGUCUCCUCUUUUUUUUUCUUCUCCUUUUCUUUUAACCUCUAAUGUGUAUUUAUAGCCCUCUCCAUAGGGCAACAAAUCAAAAUUUUUAAAAUCAAAACCUACCCUUAGCAAAUCUGUUUGUUACUUAAAUUUACCUAAACUUAGCACUAUUUACUCAUUCACACCCCCUCUCUCACCUUCCUAGAACUUUCCUAGGUGGUUAUCAGAUUAUUCUUUGGUCCUAAAAUGCCCUAAACACCCUUACUAACACUGGUAUUUACCUCUCCAAAAAAAAAACUCUCUUAUCCUUAAAACAGAUUGGGCCACAAACCCAACAAAUUUAAACCAAACUCACACUCGUGGACUCUAGUCCGGAUGGAGAAAGGUAGAAAAAUGAUUGACUACGGCAUGACCCCAAAUAAAGAAAAAAGAACGGCAACAAACAUACUGCAAAGAAAGAAAAAAAACGUGAUAAGAACAAAACAGAACAAAAAUGAAAUACUAAAUAAAGAAAGGAAAAACGAAACAAACUGGACAAAAAUUCUAAUGAAAAGGAAAAUAAAAAUUACAUCUUAAUCUCUUUUCCUCUUUUUUUUUACGCAGCAAUGAAAAAAAACUAUACAAAGAAAAUUUUAAACUCCUUGCAUGCAUGACUUGCUCAAGUCUUCUUCGUCAACCCAAGGACGCAUCUCAAACUAAAAACUUUUUGACCAAAUAUGAAAAUAAUGACACAAGUAUGGCCUAAAACAAAUUAGUGGCUAAUACUUUGUGUCACUAUGUCCAUUCUUGCCCCCCCCCCCAAAAAAAAUGCUCCAGAUCCAAAAGACAAGAACAAAAGAGGGACAACCUACUCAUUUGGAUAGAAAAACAAAGGAUUAAAACUUUGGGCGGAUUUGAAAGCCCUGGGCGGCGGCGCCGCCAGCUUGGAGGAGUGGGAGUUUUGGGCGGCUAGGGUUUGCUUUAGAGGGAGAUGGAGGAGAAUGGGGGGUGAUUUUUAG
rnacentral:lncRNA from 1 species